ensembl:lncRNA
UAAAGGGAAAGAUCUCCCUCUGCUGCACAGGAAGGAGAAACACAUGUGAACGACUGGAGCAGAGCAUAAAUGAUCUCAGGAGGAGGCUUUGGGGAGAUUCACCAUCCCAACAAUCAGAAAGCAUAAAAGAAGAGUGGGACCAAAAGGAGUAUUUUCACAGACUCUGAAGUGAAAUGAUGAUUUAAAAUCAGCAGCAGGUUUGUAAUCAUGAAGGAGUCUGACAGAGAAAUCCAAAGGUGCAAUCCAAAAACAAUAAAAAUAAUAGAUUGCAUUUAUCAAGACCCUCAAAGCGCUUUAUAAUUGCACUAUUCAUUCACACACUGGUGGAGCCAACAGACUGACAGAAGCGAGGCUGCCCUAUCGCGCCAUCGGCCCCUCUGGCCAACACCAGUAGGUGGUAGGUGAAGUGUCUUGCCUAAGCACACAACAACCAAGACUGUCCGAGCCGGGGCUCGAACCAGCAUCCUUCCGAUUAUAAGACGGACUGCUAACUCUUGAGCCACGAUCGCCCCAAAUCAUAUUCAUUAUGAGAACCACAGCUACACACCACCAUAAUUCCUCUAUAAUUCGUCGUCAGCGUCUGUAAUGAAUACUGUCAGUCACUCUCAUGAUUGUUGCCUGGCUCAAUCGGCCUCUAAAAUGCGAUACGGAUAACUCAGGAACACUGAGAGGAGGAAUCUGUGUCUGUGACCACCACUUUCUACAUCAGACCAUAACAUCAGCCAGCUUUUCCUGCCUUCAGGUCUGCAGUGCAAAGUAGUAAAUCUCUCUCUAAGAUGGCCAGGGUCUAUCUGAUAACUGCAAGGAGGAGCUAAGUGGCUGCUUCCUGUUCACAGACUGGAAUAUUUUCCACUGAGAUAAUAAUACUGAUGCAAUACAGAGCCAGUUCAGUUCAAUUCAGUUUUAUUUAUACAGCGCCAAAUCACAAAAACAUUCACCUCAAGGUACUUUAUAUUGUAAGGUAGACCCUACAAUAAUACAUAAAGAGAAAAACCCAACAAUCAUAUGACCCCCUAUGAGCAAGCACUUUGGCCACAGUGGGAAGGAAAAACUCCCUUUUAACAGGAAGAAACCUCCAACAGAACCAGGCUCAGGGAGGGGCGGGGCCAUCUGCUGUGAUUGGUUGAGGAGGAGAACAGGAUAAAGACAAGCUGUGUAAGAGAGACAGAGAUUAAUAACAAGUAUGGUUCAGUGCAGAGAGAUCUAUUAACACAUAGUGAGUGAAGAAGAAACACCCAGUGCACCAUGGGAAUCCCCCAGCAGUCUACAACCAACACUGAAUCCUCCCUUAGCUGUAAUAGGUGUAGUUGUGGCUGUCCUCUUUAGCAUCUACAUGGAUGUUAAAAUCACCCACAAUAAUGAUUUUGUCUGAGCUCAGAACUAAAUCACAUAUAAAGUCUGAGAAAUCAGACAGAAACUCUGUGUAAGGCCCAGGUGGACGAUAGAUGAUAACAAGUAAGACUGGUUUCUGAGUUUUACAGCUGGGGUCGACAAGGCUAUGUAUCAGGCUUACAAAGAAUUAAAAGUCUGUCUGGGUCUUUGGUUGAUUGAUAACCAAAGACCACUGAGUCCACAGAUGUCAAGCUCAGAAGGAGAGAGUUCCAGAGUCUGGGGGCAACUGUGGCAAAAACUCUGGGUCCCAAUACAGGAUCUUGUGGUACACCAUAGCUCUCACGUCUGUGUAAACAAAGUCUUGUAAAAAGUCUCCCAACAGACCCUUCAGUUCACAUACAGAACCAACCGAUCUACAGAGGAUGCUAUCUCCACCAUAGUCCACGUUAUGCUGCCACACCUGGAGAGGAAAAACACCUAUGUCAGAAGUCUUUUCAUCAACUUUAGCUCAGCUUUUAACACGAUCAUUGGUUGAAAAGCUGAUGCUAUUAGGUGUGGAACCGGCAACCUGCAACUGGGUUUUCAGCUUCUUGACAAAGCGGCAACAGACAGUCAAGGUGGGCAGCCAAACAUUAAAGACCGUCUUAGAGAGCACAGGCUCUCCUCAGGGGUGUGUCCUGAGCCCGCUGCUGUUCAGCCUGCUUACACAUGACUGUACGGCCACAUUCAACACUAACCACAUUGUGAAGUUUGCCAACGACACAACUGUGAUUGGUCUCAUCACUGACAACGACGAGUCUGCCUAUAGAAUGGACGUGGAGCAGCUUGGAGUGUGGUGCAGAUCCCACAAUCUCAUCAUCAACGUGGACAAAAUAAAAGAGAUGGUGAUCGAUUUCAGGAAGGCUGGCAGAGAUCACCACCAAGACCUCACCAUAGAUGAUGCUGCUGUGAAGAGGGUCAGCAGUGUUACGUUCCUGGGUGUACACCUUGCUGAUGACCUGUCCUUCUCCAUUAACACCACAGCAGUUAUCAAAAAAGCACAAAAGCGUCUCCACUCCCUCAGGAGACUCAGAAAAACAGGACUCUCCACACUUCACCUCACAAAUUUCUACAGAGGCACCAUUGAAAACAUCCCGACACAAAGUUUUACAGCAUGGUUUGGCAGCUGCAAGUCCUACAAGAAGUGUCAACUUAAUAGGAUUGUUAAGACUGCCAGGAGGAUUGCUGGUGCCCCUCUCUCAUCACUGGAGGAGAUCUACAAACAGCACUGCAUACGCAGAGCUAUCUCCAUCAUCAGAGACCCCCACCACCCCUCUCAUGACCUGUUCUCACUCCUGCCGUCUUACAGGUGGUACAGGAGCAUCAGCUGCAGAACCUCCAGGAUGCUGGUUCUUUGUGAGACUGAUAAAUGGACUGUGCCCCCUCUCCACCUACACAGCCAUUCACACAGCUACACUGUAUAAUCAACAAGCGGACUUUGUUGCCCCUAUCUACACACACACACACACACACACACACACACACACACACACACACACACACACACACACACACACACACACACACACACAUACAAUACACUCCACACUACCUAAUUUAACCAUCCCCUUCCGUGACAGGACUGCUGCUAUCUACCCGAAUGAAUGUGACAUGAGU